rnacentral:rRNA from 1 species
GACGAACGCUGGCGGCGUGCUUAACACAUGCAAGUCGAACGGAAAGGCCCCCUUGUGGGGUACUCGAGUGGCGAACGGGUGAGUAACACGUGAGUAACCUACCCUUGACUUUGGGAUAACUUCAGGAAACUGGGGCUAAUACCGGAUAGGAGCUCCUGCUGCAUGGUGGGGGUUGGAAAGUUUCGGCGGUUGGGGAUGGACUCGCGGCUUAUCAGCUUGUUGGUGGGGUAGUGGCUCACCAAGGCUUUGACGGGUAGCCGGCCUGAGAGGGUGACCGGCCACAUUGGGACUGAGAUACGGCCCAGACUCCUACGGGAGGCAGCAGUGGGGAAUAUUGCACAAUGGGCGGAAGCCUGAUGCAGCAACGCCGCGUGCGGGAUGACGGCCUUCGGGCUGUAAACCGCUUUCGCCUGUGACGAAGCGUGAGUGACGGUAAUGGGUAAAGAAGCACCGGCUAACUACGUG